AGGGGACCGGAGGGAGGAGGGAAGAUGCGGGGGGAGGGGGAGGCGCGCGGAACCAGGGUCAAGCAGGAGAGACAGUGAGAAAUCCUUAAAUCCUGCCCCUUGUUGUGACUGAAUGAAAAGAGCUCAACCAUCCUGGGGGAUGGGCAAGGAGGGAGGAGCUCCUGGGACUAGGAAAUCCCUCCCAGCCUGUUUUGACAGGAAGCAGGAAGUCCCUGAGCUGAGAGUCGUCUCUCUCCCCUGUAAUUCAGAUCACUCUCCUUUUUUCCCUUGGAGUUACGAUCACUUUGUCUUCUGGAAGCCAGACCUGUGCUUGCAGUUCCCAGGAGAUGGUGAUGUUCAAAGAUGUGGCUGUGGACUUUACCCAGGAAGAGUGGGGCCUCUUAGAUGAUCCUCAGAAGGAGUUGUACAAGGAGGUCAUGUUGGAGAAUGCCUGGAACCUGCUCUCUCUGGAUUGAGUUUUGGCAUGCCAGUGACAAGCCAAGAAAACCAUAUCAAAAAUUCCAUACACCAAUGACACCCAAGAAAAACACAUCAACCAUAUGACACUCUCAGAAACCCAUGUCCAAAAUGCAACAUGCAAAUGGCAUGCCAAGAAAAGCAAAUCAAAAAUUCAACAUGCUAAAUGCAAGCACUCCCAUAAAAUCUCUACAAAACUUUCAUUUGGAGGUGAUCUCUUCUGCCUUUGAAUUGAAAAACAACUUUUCUUAUUUCUCCUUCGUGAUCUCUCUUGGAUUCUAAUUAUUUAAACCCAUGGCUGUUGGAAUCUUUACAAACUGCUAACUAAUUAGAGUUGAUCUGAUCUUACAAGAAGAUGUUUUGGGCCAGAACCUGAAACAAGGUACUAAGUAGAACUAAUUAAUACAAGGCUUGUGUUCACACCUUUACUCAUUGGAGUUCACAAGUAUGGGAGUUUCACAAAGUAAACUUUGUAACUUUGUGAAUUCACACCUCCCUUAAAGCUCUUAGGGCCAGAGAGCACUAUGGGAGAAAACCCAUAAUCCCUCUCUCUUGUAUCCCACAAUUCCUCCCUCUUGUAUAAAAGAAACAGACAGAGGCUCUCGGAGAGAUUUCAGUGGAAUUACGCCAGAAGCCUUCUCUCCGAGGCAAGAAAGAAUAUUUUCCACUUGGCUGGCUGGUGGUGGAAGAGAGUUCAGCUGGAUUGGAGAGGAGCACUUGGGUGGAGAGCCGGAAGCCCUCUCUCGGAGGCAAGGCAGAUUCAACUUGGAGCUGGAUUGAAGGCUGAAGAAAGCAGAGGCAGAAGCAAAGGACAAAACUGCAAGAGAUCUUGGAACCAAGCAGAGAGAUAGACCUCUAAGCUAACCGGGCUAUAUUGGAGAUAAUAAAAGAUCUGAACAUUUAUCACCUGGCUGCAUUUGGGGUAAUUAUUGACCCAAACUGAUACUAAAGCUACCUCCAAGAAAACCUCCCCAAGAAACCUGCACCUCUCCCCCAGAGAGGACUAUUCUACUUAUUUUAAAAGAAGAAAAAGAAACACCACACAUGGCAUCACAUCUAGUAACUUGCAGGUUUCAGGAAUGCUCUAUCCAUUUCUCGGACUUUUUUAUAUCCAUCUUUCCAUCUCCUUCUCAUUAUAUUACACAAUGUUCUCAUAGUAGCACUUCCAUGAUUUUCUGUGAAUCAGUUGAACAACCAAUGAUUUAGGGUUAGAUUAAAGAAAGAUGCGUGGUAAAAAUAAAGAAAAAGAGAGGGUCUAAAAGAAAGAGCCAAAAGGACAGAUUAAUAGAGAAAGUGAGAGAAUGCCAGAGAAAGCAAGCCACAGUGAGACGGAGACAGAAGCACGGAGUAGUGGGAAGUCAGAGAAUGAGGGAACGAGAAAGAAAAAAAAGAACAAUUCAGAGAGACAGAAAAACAGACAGAUGGAAACAAAGACAGAGCCAGGGAAGGCAAGCCAGAAGAGCCAGAAUGAGAGAAAAGCAGUUAAAAUGCCAGAGAGAAAGAGAGCUAAACAGUGAGAGAGAGAGUGAAAAGGAAAAAGUAAAAGAGUCAGUCAGAUAUAAAUUGAAAAAGAGAGGAAUGGAGUAAAAGGGAAAGAGACAGGCUUGGAGAAAGAAACAAAAUUUUAAAAAUAAAAAAGGAGAGAGAAACAAAUACAGAGAGUGAGAAAGAGAGAAAGAAAUAGAAGAUAAGAUAGAGAUGGAGGGGGAGAGGGAGAGAGAAAGUGCCAGGAUAGCAACUGAGAGUCAGAGAAUGAGCCAGAGCAAGCCAGAGAGAUGAGACUGAAUGUGCCAGAGGGAGAGAGGGAGACAGCCAAAGAGUGAAAGACGAGACAGAUAUCAAUAGCAAGAGGGGAGGUCAGAGAAGAAAAGAGAAAUAGUGCCAAAGCACGUAUAAUGUGGUCUUUAGUAUAAGUAUUAAAUGAGUCAAUUCAAUAGGUGAGUGAACUAAAAUGAUAUCUUUAAAAAGUAAAUUGUUCAUUUAUUUGAUAAUUGGAUUUGUGCCAAUACUUGAAGAUUUUGAAAAAUAGAAAGAAUUGGUGAUAAUUCAAGCUGUGAAUGUUCAUAAACAUACAUGGGAAAUGAGAGCAAUGGAGAGACAAAGAUAGCAAGCCAGAGUGAGUCAGAGCUGGAGAGAAAGAAAGUGUCAGAGAAUAAGAAAGAAAAAGAGACAUUGAGAGAGAAAGAAUGAGAUAACGUGUAAGGAAGAUAGAGAAAGAGAAAACAAAAGAGAGAAAAUAAGCCAGAGAGAAAAAGACAAAAAGAGGCAGAGAAAAUGAGCUAGAGUAAACCAGAGUGAGAGGGAGAGAGUGAAUACAUCAGUGGUAGAGAGGGAAAAAGAGCCAGAGACAGAAAGAGAAAAAGAAACCAAGAGAGACAGAAACAAACAGAAAGGGGAGUCAGAGUGAGAGAGAUUUAAAAAAAGAUGCACUCAGAGACAAAGACAGAAACAAAGAGUCAGAGAGAGCAAGCCAGAGAUAAAAAAUAAAAAAUAAAGAAAAGAAAAGAAAAAAGAAAGUGCCAGAUAGUGAGAGAAUGGAUAGGAGAAAAAGAAACAGAGGGUCAAAGAAACAGAAAGAGGAGACACUGACAGAGACAGAGACGAGCCAAAGGGAACGAGGUACUGAAAAAGAGCAAGAUAGAAAGAAACAGAGGCAGAAUGAGAACUUUUAAUUUUACUUCUUCAUAUGUGAAUUAAUUAAAUGUAGAGUUUGGCAAUUUAAUGUAGCUUUUCUUACAGAUUACUACCACUAAAGAGGGGCACUGAUUCUUUUGGAUAUUUAACAGAAUCCACAGACACCUAUCUUAAAUCCAAAGGGAGAAAUCUGUGGUGGGGGUUGUUUGUUUGUUUGUUUUAAUUUUAGUUUUGGCAUCAGAAUUUGUCAGAGACAACUUGUUGAUAUAAAAGAGAGGAAGAAAGGCAAAAAGAAAUAACAAAGCCAGAGAGGCAGAAGAGAGAAAGAGAGAGAGAAAAGAAAGGAGUCCAAGAGAAAAAGACAGGCAGAAACAGAAAGAAGGAAAGCCAUAGAGUAAGAGAAAGAAACAGUGAGAGUGAGGAAGGAAAAAAAAAAAAGAGAGACUGAGACACAAAACCAAGACAGGGAUAGCAAGAGUGAGCCAGAGUGAGAGGAGGAUAGAAACAAAGUACCAAUGGGAGAAAGAGAUCCAGAAAGUAGGAGAGAGAGAGUGAACAAGAAAAGAAACAGGAUCAGAGAGAAAAAAGGAGAAAGGAAUAGAGUCAGAAAGAGAGAGAGAGAAUGGCAGAGAUUAUCAGAGAGUGAGAAUGAAAAAUAUAGGAAGAAACAAAGAGAGUCAGAGAAACAAGAAAGGAACAGAAAGGGUCUGAAAAAAAGAAAGAAAGAAGCCAGCAGACAGACAGAAAGUGUGAGAGAAUACCACAGGGAGCCAAAUAGGGGCGGGGGAAAAGGGGAAAAAUUCUCUCUUUAGAAAGAGAGAAAGAGGCAGAGGGAAAUAGAGAGCAAAAGAGAGAGACAGAGACAGACAAUCAAACCAACAUAUGAAGAAAGAGUGAGAAAGAAAAGGUAAUUCCAAAGGACAGAGUGAAACAGAGAUAGUUACAGAUAGCAAGAGACUUAGCUAGAGGGAAAGAGUGAAGGAGAGAAAAGGUGUCAGAAAGACACAGAGAGUGAGAUAGUGAAAAAGAGAGAAACAGUGAGAGAGAGAGAGGAACAGGGUCAGAGAGAAAGAAUGAAAGAGACAGACAGAAAAAGAGAGCAAACAAAAAUAGAGUGAAAGUGAGAAAAGGGCAGUCAGAAAAAGAGAGAAAAAUAGGGAGUGAAAGACAGAGAAAGGCACAAAGAGACAGUAAGCAAAAAAUAGCCUCAGAAUGAAUGAGAGACUGGGGAAAAAAAAGAAAGAAAUGGGGAAAGAGUGAGAGACAAAGAGCAAGCCAGAGUGAAAAAUAGAGUGAGAAAGAAACAGAGUUAGCAAGACAAAGAAACAGAAUAAAAAAGGAGAGAGUCAGUGAAAAAAAAAGAAGCAGAGGGAGACAGAGAUUUAGAAAAAGUUAAAGAGAGAAAGUAAAA